GCAAAACCUCCUUGUUAAAGCUAAGCAGGGCCGGGCCUGGUUAAUAUGUGGAUGGGAGACCUCUGGGAAUAUCAGGUGC
rnacentral:rRNA from 1 species